AGUCCACCUACAUGUUCCACCCAUGAACUCACAGGGAGUAGAGUGUGUAGGGGAUUUGUUAUGUGUUACUGUAGAGGAUCUAAUGUGUGUGCUUACGGAAUGUAGUGUAUAGGGAUACCAGUUUGUGUAGGUGAUGCAGUGUGUUUGUGUGUAGUGGAAGCAGUGUGUGUGUGUGUGUAUAAGGGAUGUAUUGUGUGUUUCUUGUUGUGUGUAAGGGAUGCAUUGUGUGAAUCUGUGUUUGUAUGCAUAAGGG